rnacentral:rRNA from 1 species
GAUCAUGGCUCAGGAUGAACGCUAGCGACAGGCUUAGCACAUGCAAGGUCGAGGGGCAGCACAGGUAGCAAUACCGGGUGGCGACCGGCGCACGGGUGAGUAACGCGUAUGCAACUUACCUAUCAGAGGGGGAUAACCCGGCGAAAGUCGGACUAAUACCGCAUGAAGCAGGGGCCCGCAUGGGGAUAUUUGCUAAAGAUUCAUCGCUGAUAGAUAGGCAUGCGUUCCA